rnacentral:rRNA from 1 species
UACGUAGGGGGCUAGCGUUGUCCGGAAUCAUUGGGCGUAAAGCGCGUGUAGGCGGUUCGGUAAGUCCGCUGUGAAAGUCGGGGGCUCAACCCUCGAAUGCCGGUGGAUACUGUCAAGCUCGAGUCCGGAAGAGGAGUGUGGAAUUCCUGGUGUAGCGGUGAAAUGCGCAGAUAUCAGGAGGAACACCAAUGGCGAAGGCAGCACUCUGGGACGUGACUGACGCUGAGACGCGAAAGCGUGGGGAGCAAACAGG